UACGAAGGGGGCUAGCGUUGUUCGGAAUUACUGGGCGUAAAGCGCGCGCAGGCGGCUAUCCAAGUCAGUGGUGAAAGCCCGGAGCUCAACUCCGGAACUGCCUUUAAAACUGCAUAGCUUGAAUCCGGGAGAGGUGAGUGGAAUUCCGAGUGUAGAGGUGAAAUUCGUAGAUAUUCGGAAGAACACCAGUGGCGAAGGCGGCUCACUGGACCGGUAUUGACGCUGAGGUGCGAAAGCGUGGGGAGCAAACAGG
rnacentral:rRNA from 1 species